rnacentral:rRNA from 1 species
CGGGGUGCACCAGGCGCGAAAACUUUACAAUGCGGGAAACCGUGAUAAGGGGACACCGAGUGCCAGCAUCAUAUGCUGGCUGUCCAGGUGUGCAAAAUACACCUGUUAGCAAGGGCCGGGCAAGACCGGUGCCAGCCGCCGCGGUAACACCGGCGGCCCGAGUGGUGAUCGUGAUUAUUGGGUCUAAAGGGUCCGUAGCCGGUUUGGUCAGUCCUUCGGGAAAUCUGACAGCUUAACUGUUAGGCUUUCGGAGGAUACUGCCAGACUUGGAACCGGGAGAGGUAAGAGGUACUACAGGGGUAGGAGUGAAAUCUUGUAAUCCCUGUGGGACCACCUGUGGCGAAGGCGUCUUACCAGAACGGGUUCGACGGUGAGGGACGAAAGCUGGGGGCACGAACCGGAUUAGAUACCCGGGUAGUCCCAGCCGUAAACGAUGCUCGCUAGGUGUCAGGCAUGGCGCGACCGUGUCUGGUGCCGCAGGGAAGCCGUGAAGCGAGCCACCUGGGAAGUACGGCCGCAAGGCUGAAACUUAAAGGAAUUGGCGGGGGAGCAAG